rnacentral:rRNA from 1 species
GACGAACGCUGGCGGCGUGCCUAAUACAUGCAAGUAGAACGCACAGUUUAUACCGUAGCUUGCUACACCAUAGACUGUGAGUUGCGAACGGGUGAGUAACGCGUAGGUAACCUGCCUGGUAGCGGGGGAUAACUAUUGGAAACGAUAGCUAAUACCGCAUAAUAUUAAUUAUUGCAUGAUAAUUAAUUGAAAGGUGCAAUUGCACCACUACCAGAUGGACCUGCGUUGUAUUAGCUAGUAGGUGAGGUAACGGCUCACCUAGGCGACGAUACAUAGCCGACCUGGGAGGGUGGUCGGCCACACUGGGACUGGGACACGGCCCAGACUCCUACGGGAGGCAGCAGUAGGGAAUCUUCGGCAAUGGACGAAAGUCUGACCGAGCAACGCCGCGGGAGUGAAGAAGGGUUUCGGAUCGUAAAGCUCUGUUGUAAGAGAAGAACGGGUGUGAGAGUGGAAAGUUCACACUGUGACGGUAUCUUACCAGAAAGGGACGGCUAACUACGUG